rnacentral:rRNA from 1 species
UCAAUAAGCGGAGGAAAAGAAACUAACAAGGAUUCCCCUAGUAGCGGCGAGCGAAGCGGGAAAAGCUCAAAUUUGUAAUCUGGCGUCUUCGACGUCCGAGUUGUAAUCUCGAGAAGUGUUUUCCGUGAUAGACCGCAUACAAGUCUCUUGGAACAGAGCGUCAUAGUGGUGAGAACCCAGUACACGAUGCGGAUGCCUAUUACUUUGUGAUACACUUUCGAAGAGUCGAGUUGUUUGGGAAUGCAGCUCAAAUUGGGUGGUAAAUUCCAUCUAAAGCUAAAUAUUGGCGAGAGACCGAUAGCGAACAAGUACCGUGAGGGAAAGAUGAAAAGCACUUUGGAAAGAGAGUUAACAGUACGUGAAAUUGUUGGAAGGGAAACACAUGCAGUGAUACUUGCUAUUCGGGGCAACUCGAUUGGCAGGCCCGCAUCAGUUUUUCGGGGCGGAAAAUCGUAGAGAGAAGGUAGCAGUUUCGGCUGUGUUAUAGCUCUUUACUGGAUUCGCCCUGGGGGACUGAGGAACGCAGCGUGCUUUUAGCAUGAGCUUCGGCUUAUCCACGCUUAGGAUGCGGGUUUAUGGCUGUAUAUGACCCGUCUUGAAACACGGACCAAGGAGUCUAACAUGCUUGCGAGUAUUUGGGUGUCAAACCCGGAUGCGCAAUGAAAGUGAAUGGAGGUGGGAAGCGCAAGCUGCACCAUCGACCGAUCUGGAUUUUUUAAGAUGGAUUUGAGUAAGAGCAAGUAUGUUGGGACCCGAAAGAUGGUGAACUAUGCCUGAAUAGGGCGAAGCCAGAGGAAACUCUGGUGGAGGCUCGUAGCGGUUCUGACGUGCAAAUCGAUCGUCAAAUUUGGGUAUAGGGGCGAAAGACUAAUCGAACCC